rnacentral:rRNA from 1 species
CUGCGGAAGGAUCAUUAUCAUGUAAUAUACCCAGUCAUGCUGCUGCGUGAGCUGUAUAAACCCACCCUGUGUACUCCGUCCUGUUGCUUCCGCCGUGCGCCUGAAGGCGCCCGGCGGAAGUUCAGUAAUAAACCCCGUGUUUUACUACGUAAUCCGUCUGAAUGAAUAGGAACGAUGAAAUGUUAAAACUUUCAGCAACGGAUCUCUUGGUUCUCGCAUCGAUGAAGAACGCAGCGAAAUGCGAUAAGUAGUGUGAAUUGCAGAAUCUAGUGAAUCAUCGAAUCUUUGAACGCACAUUGCGCCUUCUGGUAUUCCGGGAGGCAUGCCUGUUCGAGAGUCAUUGACAACCGUUUCGAAGCCCCCCUUUCUCCACGUCCUCGAGGGGUCCGGGGGGUAUUCGUUUGUUGGUCGCGGAGGGAUGAGUUGCCUUGGCCUGCCCGCUAUGCCUGGCAAAUCUCCUCCCCACUGAAAUUCGGCGACGGGCUUUCUUUUUAUAGGUGGUGGGAUUGAAGGCGAUAUAGAUGCUCCCCGGCCCCCCGGGUAGAUUGUGCCAAUCCCCUCAACUUCCGAGGUUCAGCGGCGGUCCUGUGUUAAUUGACCCACAUCGGGACGGAUGACGUCUUGGUUCACGGCGAUGCGCGGAGGGUCUCCCCCAUCCUGGAGCCCCCGUGUACCCGUAACGAUUGGGUUAGCCGACAUGUUGCUUAUAGCUUUACUUCUGGCUUGUAGCAAUUCGGGACCACAGGACACUGGCCAGAGCUGAGCAGGAAGAACCUUGCGCCCCUGCCAUUUUAUUUUUUAAAUCAAAGGUUGACCUGGGAUCAGGUAGGGAUACCCGCUGAACUUAAGCAUAUCAAUAAGC